rnacentral:rRNA from 1 species
UGGUAGGAUAGAGGCCUACCAUGGUGGUAACGGGUAACGGGGUGUUAGGGCACGACGGAGAGGGAGCCUGAGAAACGGCUACCACAUCCAAGGAUGGCAGCAGGCGCGCAAAUUACCCAAUCCCGACACGGGGAGGUAGUGACAAUAAAUAACAAUACGGGGUUCUUUAGGAUCUCGUAAUUGGAAUGAGUACAAUUUAAAUCUCUUAACGAGGAACAAUUGGAGGGCAAGUCUGGUGCCAGCAGCCGCGGUAAUUCCAGCUCCAAUAGCGUAUAUUAAAGUUGUUGCAGUUAAAAAGCUCGUAGUUGAAUUUCGGGGUUAGUAGGUUGGUCAUGCCUCUGGUAUGUACUGGUCUCACUGAUUCCUCCUUCCUUAUGAACCGUAAUGCCAUUAAUUUGGUGUUGCGGGGAAUUUGGACUGUUACUUUGAAAAAAUUAGAGUGUUUAAAGCAAGCUAACGCUUGAAUACAUUAGCAUGGAAUAAUGAAAUAGGACGUUCGAUCUUAUUUUGUUGGUUUCUAGGAUUGACGUAAUGAUUAAUAGGGAUAGUUGGGGGCAUUAGUAUUCAAUUGUCAGAGGUGAAAUUCUUGGAUUUAUUGAAGACUAACUACUGCGAAAGCAUUUGCCAAGGAUGUUUUCAUUAAUCAAGAACGAAAGUUAGGGGAUCGAAGACGAUCAGAUACCGUCGUAGUCUUAACCAUAAACUAUGCCGACUAGGGAUCGGAUGA